rnacentral:rRNA from 1 species
CAGCCGCCGCGGUAAUACGUAGGGGGCGAGCGUUACCCGGAUUCACUGGGCGUAAAGGGGGCGUAGGCGACUCAGUGUGUCGGGUGUGAAAUCCCACGGCUCAACCGUGGAAUUGCGCCCGAAACUACUGGGUUUGGGGCUGGUAGAGGGAGAUGGAACUGCUGGUGUAGGGGUGAAAUCCGUAGAUAUCAGCAGGAACGCCGGUGGGGAAGCCGGUCUCCUGGGCCAUGCCCGACGCUGAGGCCCGAAAGCUAGGGGAGCAAACCGGAUUAGAUACCCGGGUAGUCCUAGCCGUAAACGAUGCUCACUAGGUGUGGGGGAGUCAUUCCUCCGUGCUGCAGUUAACGCGUUAAGUGAGCCGCCUGGGGAGUACGCCCGCAAGGGUGAAACUUAAAGGAAUUGGCGGG